rnacentral:lncRNA from 1 species
AAUUGUAAAAUUUCAUUGACCAAUCCAUAUCGGAUUGAGUCCAAAACGUGGGGAGCAUCAUUCUAUGGUGGGUGGAGUCAUUUGGUGGCUUUUGAGUGAAAUCCAAUUUCUACAACUAUGCAAUACACCAACCACUAGAUUUCAUAACAAACUUCGUACGAACCUGAAUUGUCCAAUUUCAUGGACCAAUCGAUAUCGGAUUGAGUCCAAAACUUGGGGAUCG